rnacentral:rRNA from 1 species
CGCGGCCUAUCAGCUUGUUGGUGGGGUAAUGACCUACCAAGGCGGCGACGGGUAGCCGGCCUGAGAGGGUGUACGGCCACAUUGGGACUGAGAUACGGCCCAGACUCCUACGGGAGGCAGCAGUGGGGAAUAUUGCACAAUGGGCGCAAGCCUGAUGCAGCGACGCCGCGUGGGGGAUGAAGGCCUUCGGGUUGUAAACUCCUUUCGCUAGGGACGAAGCUUUGUUGUGACGGUACCUAGAUAAGAAGCACCGGCUAACUACGUGCCAGCAGCCGCGGUAAUACGUAGGGUGCGAGCGUUGUCCGGAAUUACUGGGCGUAAAGGGCUCGUAGGUGGUUUGUCGCGUCGUCUGUGAAAUUCUGGGGCUUAACUCCGGGCGUGCAGGCGAUACGGGCAUAACUUGAGUGCUGUAGGGGUAACUGGAAUUCCUGGUGUAGCGGUGAAAUGCGCAGAUAUCAGGAGGAACACCGAUGGCGAAGGCAGGUUACUGGGCAGUUACUGACGCUGAGGAGCGAAAGCAUGGGUAGCGAACAGGAUUAGAUACCCUGGUAGUCCAUGCCGUAAACGGUGGGCGCUAGGUGUGAGGGUCUUUCUACGACUUUCGUGCCGUAGCUAACGCAUUAAGCGCCCCGCCUGGGGAGUACGG